rnacentral:rRNA from 1 species
AUGCAGCCAUGCCGCGUGUAUGAAGAAGGCCUUCGGGUUGUAAAGUACUUUCAGUUGUGAGGAAGGGGGUGUUGUUAAUAGCAACAUCUCUUGACGUUAGCAACAGAAGAAGCACCGGCUAACUCCGUGCCAGCAGCCGCGGUAAU